rnacentral:rRNA from 1 species
GACGAGCGCUGGCGGCAGGCCUAACACAUGCAAGUCGAGCGGGCGUAGCAAUACGUCAGCGGCGGACGGGUGAGUAACACGUGGGAAUAUGCCUUUCGGUUUGGAACAACUCGGGAAACCCGUCGCUAAUUCCGGAUACGCCCUUAGGGGAAAGGAUUAUCGCCGAAAGAUUAGCCCGCGUCCGAUUAGCUAGUUGGUGAGGUAACGGCCCACCAAGGCGACGAUCGGUAGCUGGUUUGAGAGAACGACCAGCCACACUGGGACUGAGACACGGCCCAGACUCCUACGGGAGGCAGCAGUGGGGAAUCUUGGACAAUGGAGGAAACUCUGAUCCAGCCAUGCCGCGUGAGUGAUGAAGGCCUGGUU